ACAAGAAACAACCACGUCAUCCAUGAAUGCAUUAUAUUGCAUCGCAUUGUUAGCUCAAAACAUAGAUGCAUGCAUGUAAUCGAUCUGUCGAUCCAUGCAUCGAUCGAGAUGUAUAUAUAUCCUGGUUCUAGAUCCCAUAGAGAUCAUAGAACUAGAGCCAGCUCCUUGUUGCCCAUGGCCAUGACGAGAGCACUGGCCAUGGUGGCCAUGUUAGCCACUGCUGCCUUGUUCUUCAUGUCCGCUCGCGCACAGCAGUGCGGUACGCAGGCCGGCGGCGCGCUCUGCCCCGACUGCCUCUGCUGCAGCCAGUGGGGCUAUUGCGGCUCCACUCCCGACUACUGUACCGACGGCUGCCAGAGCCAGUGCUUCGGCAGCGGCUGCGGCGGCGGCGGCGGUACCCCUGCUACUCCCCCGAGCGGGCCGGUGUCAGAAAUCAUCUCCGAAUCCCUGUUCAACGAGAUGCUGCUGCACCGCAACGACGUGGCGUGCCCGGCCAUCGGCUUCUACACCUACGACGCGUUCAUCGCGGCCGCGAACGCGUUCCCGGGCUUCGGCACCACGGGCGGCGCCGACACGCAGAAGCGCGAGCUGGCGGCGUUCCUGGCGCAGACGUCGCACGAGACCACGGGCGGGUGGGACACGGCGCCCGACGGGCCCUACACCUGGGGCUACUGCUUCAAGGAGGAGGUCGGCGGCGUGUGGGGGCCGGACUACUGCCAGCCCAGCCCCCAGUGGCCGUGCGCCGACGGCCAGAAGUACUACGGCCGCGGGCCCAUCCAGCUCUCCUGGAACUACAACUACGGGCCCGCCGGGGAGGCCAUCGGCCAGGACCUUCUGGGCAACCCAGGUCUGGUUGCCGCCGACGCCACUGUCUCCUUCGAGACGGCGCUCUGGUACUGGAUGACGCCGCAGCCGCCCAAGCCGUCCUGCCACGACGUCAUCACGGGCCAGUGGGCGCCCUCGCCCGCCGACGUGGCCGCAGGGAGGCUGCCGGGGUAUGGCGUCCUCACCAACAUCAUCAACGGCGGCCUCGAGUGCGGCCAUGGCGCCGACGCUCGUGUUGCCAGCCGGAUCGGCUUCUACAAACGCUACUGCGACAUGUUUGGUCUCAGCUACGGCGACAACUUGGACUGCUACGACCAGAGCCCCUUCGGAAACACAAUCUUAAGCACCACCAAUAAUACCACCUCAUAUCACGUUGACGCCUAAGGGCAUGUACAGUGGAGAGACACCAAAACGGUUCUCCAAGCACAGGAGACAACUAAGAGACUCUAUUGUACAAUGGAGUGUCUAUAAACGUAGUCUAUUAAUAAAUACAGAAUUAAAUGUAUUUGUAUAGCAUCAGAUCGAUAGAACAGACGACAAAUUCGUACAGUGGGAAGUGAGGCGUCUGUUGCUACUUGGUUUACGAGCCAGAGACGUCUCUUCACGGAGAGACGGCUCUAAGAUUUUUUUGCAAAUAACCCCCUUAAACAGCUUAAGAGACUCCACAUUAAACACCACUGUACAUGCCCUAAUAAGUAACAAGAGCUACCUGUUACUACAACUGCAAGACACAGACCUCGUGUAGUGCACAUGUGCGUCAAAUCUCUAAACUUUGUACGCCCAGCUGAAUAAAACUCUGUAAUCUGAAACUUCGCACACUACCCAGAAUAAAAGUUUUCGAUUUCAAA